rnacentral:tRNA from 1 species
GUGUGUGCAGCUCAGAUGGUACGAGCGCCGGAUUGUGGCUCCGGAGGACGGCGGUUCAAACCCGCCCACGCACCCCA